rnacentral:rRNA from 1 species
UGCAGUCGACGGUAACAGGUUAAGCUGACGAGUGGCGAACGGGUGAGUAAUAUAUCGGAACGUGCCCAGUCGUGGGGGAUAACUGCUCGAAAGAGCAGCUAAUACCGCAUACGACCUGAGGGUGAAAGCGGGGGAUCGCAAGACCUCGCGCGAUUGGAGCGGCCGAUAUCAGAUUAGGUAGUUGGUGGGGUAAAGGCCCACCAAGCCAACGAUCUGUAGCUGGUCUGAGAGGACGACCAGCCACACUGGGACUGAGACACGGCCCAGACUCCUACGGGAGGCAGCAGUGGGGAAUUUUGGACAAUGGGCGCAAGCCUGAUCCAGCCAUGCCGCGUGCGGGAAGAAGGCCUUCGGGUUGUAAACCGCUUUUGUCAGGGAAGAAAAGGUUCUGGUUAAUACCUGGGACUCAUGACGGUACCUGAAGAAUAAGCACCGGCUAACUACGUGCCAGCAGCCGCGGUAAUA